AGAGGAUGGAAAGCAUGCUGAAGA
rnacentral:siRNA from 1 species